rnacentral:rRNA from 1 species
AUGAACUAUAAUAUGCAAGGGAUGGAUAAGACGAUUCCUAAGCUCUUCACAAUGCUAAAGGCUGUGGAUGUAAAAAUCAAAAAAGAGCAUCAAGUGUUGAUGGUCAACAAGACCACCAAUUUCAAGAAAAGGGGUAAAGGGAAGAAGGGGAGCUUCAAGAAGAAUGGCAAGCAAGUUGCUGCUCAAGUGAAGAAGCCCAAGUCUGGACCUAAACCUGAGACUGAGUGCUUCUACUGCAAAGGGACUGGUCACUGGAAGCGGAACUGCCCCAAGUAUUUGGCGGAGAAGAAGGAUGGCAAAGUGGAAUGUAUAUUUGAUGUACAUGUUAUUGAUGUGUACCUUACUAAUGCUCGUAGUAAAGCCUAG